rnacentral:rRNA from 1 species
UGAAUGCUGGCGGCGUGCCUAAUACAUGCAAGUCGAGCGGUAACAGGGAGUUCCACGUUCCUUGACACACCUAGCGCAGAGUCGAGGUUGAUGACUUCGAGGGAACCGUGGAAUUCUGCUGACGAGCGGCGGACGGCUGAGUAACGCGUGGGAACGGACCCAAACUGAGGGAUAACGCAUCGAAAGGUGUGCUAAUACCGCAUGUGAUCUUCGGAUUAAAGCUUUCGAGCGGUUUGGGACUGGCCUGCGUACGAUUAGAUAGUUGGUAGGGUAAUGGCCUACCAAGUCGACGAUCGUUAGAUGGUUUGAGAAGAUGAUCAUCCAGACUGGGACUGAGACACGGCCCAGACUCCUACGGGAGGCAGCAGUAGGGAAUCUUUCACAAUGGGCGAAAGCCUGAUGGAGCAACGCCGCGUGCAGGAUGACGGCCUUCGGGUUGUAAACUGCUUUUAUAACCGAGAAAUAUGAUGGUAAGUUAUGAAUAAGGACCGGCUAACUACGUGCCAGCCGCAGC